GCUGAUAUAGCUCAAUGGGUAGAGCAAGUGAUUUGUGUGCUGUACGUACAAUGUGUCGGCUGGUUCACAAAUGUUAGGUUGGGAGGGUUCGAGUCCCUUCGUCAGCG
rfam:Paenibacillus polymyxa SC2 plasmid pSC2, complete sequence.